CCUACGGGUGGCAGCAGUGGGGAAUAUUGGGCAAUGGGCGCAAGCCUGACCCAGCCACGCCGCGUGAAGGAAGAAGGCUUUCGGGUUGUAAAAUUCUUUUAAGAAGGAAGAGAAGUAGGCGGUACCUGUUGAAUAAGCCACGGCUAACUACGUGCCAGCAGCCGCGGUAAUGCGUAGGUCGCAAGCGUUGUCCGGAUUGACUGGGUGUAACGGGCGUGUAGGCGGGAUGGCAAGUCAGGUGUGAAAGCCCGCGGCUCAACCGCAGAACUGCAUUUGAAACUGUUUUUCUUGAGUACAGGUGAGGUCAGCGGAAUUCCUUGUGUAGCGGUGAAAUGCUUAGAUAUAAGGAAGAACACCAGUUGCGAAGGCGGAUGACUGGACGGCAACUGACGGUGAUGCGCGAAAGCGUGGGGAGCAAACAGGAUUAGAUACCCCGGUAGUC
rnacentral:rRNA from 1 species